rnacentral:rRNA from 1 species
UACGUAGGGUGCAAGCGUUGUCCGGAAUUAUUGGGCGUAAAGAGCUCGUAGGCGGUUUGUCGCGUCUGCUGUGAAAACUCGGGGCUCAACUCCGAGCUUGCAGUGGGUACGGGCAGACUAGAGUGCGGUAGGGGAGACUGGAAUUCCUGGUGUAGCGGUGGAAUGCGCAGAUAUCAGGAGGAACACCGGUGGCGAAGGCGGGUCUCCGGGCAGUAACUGACGCUGAGGAGCGAAAGCGUGGGGAGCGAACAGG